CAGGUACUCCUGUAGAGCGAAGAUCUUCAUCAGAGUGCUCAGUCUAGGAAGCCAGUCAGUGUUCAGUAAAUACGGGAUAAUUAAUGAUCAUAAAGGAGAUGCAUUGUCACUGAAUAGCUAAAUUCUUGCUUCAAAGAACCUGAGGUUACUCUCUCUUUUUAUCUGUUUUCUACUGGGAUACGCGUUGGAGAUACAUUUACUUAUGUCUUCUAGACACUACCGUUAUACAUACAUAUAUACCUACAUACAUACACACUGUUCAGAAAAACAGCAGUCUGGUUUUAUUACAAUAAUAGGAUAAGACAGAUCUUUGUAAAGAGGAUCAAAGAAUCUCUCAACAGAAUAUGAAUUUUUCCAUUUUCCUUGCUCAGAUGAAUGAAUUGGAUUGAUUUAAAAAGUUGGACCCCCAUGAAAUGCCUGACAGAGUCACUUAGGGUCUACAUCGAAAUCUGAAAAAAUUUGGCUGAACACCAAUUAGGAAUUGCUGGGGAUCUUAGACACAUGACUGUACACCCGUCAAAGACUUUUCUUGAGGUAGUUUGGGGGUUUCCCUGGGGAAAGUAUUAAUAUUGACCUACUGUGACUAUUACUUAUACUACUCUCUUCUUAUGCUAACACAUACUGUUUUUGGAAUGUACAUUCUUGAUGUUUAAUUAUGUGCUAUCUUGUAUGUCCUCCAGUAACAAGGUUGUAAGUUUCCCACAAGGACCCGAACUGUAUGUUGAAGCAGUACUGGGACUUCUAAGGAGUACCAAAUGUAACAGUUCAUUAGUUGGGCUGACCCACGUGCAAAUCCAUUAACGCAGGAGUCUUCUCUGCUUCCCAAACCGGGAGUCCCAGCCACAGCCCGGGGGCCCUGGAAACUCCAGCCAGUUUAUUAAAGUGCCUUCCCCGCCUGUGACCAUCAGGUACAGUUUCUUUCUGGAUUAUUUCACAUUCCAGUAAAUUAGUUUUAUCCGCUCUGAAACAUUUUAACAAAGAAAGCUCUCUGCUCAUCAUACGAGUAAAAUAACAAGGAAUAAAAGAACGUGUACUUCACCUAAUCAGAAACAAUUCCAAAUCUCCCUUGAAAAUGCAACCUUUCCUGUCCCGCCACCCUUUUCAUUUAUCUUACGCUGGUGGAAUUUUGAAAU
rnacentral:lncRNA from 1 species